CUAUAUAAGCCCCCUUGACAAGCAACACCUUCAACUUAUAUCAGGAGGUUAGAUCUUGAGAUCAAGUACAUGAACUAGCUUGAUAUAAUUGAAUACAAGUAGGAUCAUGGCCAUGAAGCUGCUGAUAACCCUAGCUUUGCUUGUCAUACUCAUGGCUUCAGCCAUGGCUGCAACUGAUAUCAACAAGCAAGGUAUUUACAACGAGAACAAGGCAAUCAUCACCGGUCGCCGUCUGUUAGAGAUUUCACAAGGAGUUGGUAUUGAUGCAAGAAUUAAUGACAGGAAACCUACGGGGCGUCACUACUAUUGUCCCAUGUUAAGCCCGGCGUGUACCUGAACAAUUAUAUUGAACCCUGGAGUACUGCUGCUUAGAAGAAGGCUAGCUUUUUAUAUAUAUAUAUAUAGUUGAAUAAAGGGUAGCUAGUGUGUGCUAUCUGUUGUCCAAGUCUCCAUGGUGUUCUCUAUGUCGAAAAACUAGUUUAAUGAAUAAGGUGUGACCGGCUUGUGUGUGCUGCCUCUGGCAGCUUGCAUGCAUGCGUUUUCUCUUUGCUUAUGAAAACAAAGUUGGUUUAGAUAAGUCACCCAAUAAAUAAAACAAAGUUUAUAAACUCA